rnacentral:rRNA from 1 species
GACGAAUGCUGGCGGCGUGCUUAACACAUGCAAGUCGAACGGAAAGGCCUCUUUCGGGGGGUACUCGAGUGGCGAACGGGUGAGUAACACGUGAGUAACCUGCCCUUGACUUUGGGAUAACUUCAGGAAACUGGGGCUAAUACCGGAUAGGAGCUCCUGCUGCAUGGUGGGGGUUGGAAAGUUUCGGCGGUUGGGGAUGGACUCGCGGCUUAUCAGCUUGUUGGUGGGGUAGUGGCUUACCAAGGCUUUGACGGGUAGCCGGCCUGAGAGGGUGACCGGCCACAUUGGGACUGAGAUACGGCCCAGACUCCUACGGGAGGCAGCAGUGGGGAAUAUUGCACAAUGGGUGGAAGCCUGAUGCAGCAACGCCGUGUGCGGGAUGACGGCCUUCGGGUUGUAAACCGCUUUCGCUCAUGACGAAGCUUUGUGUGACGGUAGUGGGUAAAGAAGCACCGGCUAACUACGUG